GUCGAGCGGAUGAGAGGAGCUUGCUCCUGGAUUCAGCGGCGGACGGGUGAGUAAUCCUAGGAAUCUGCCUGGUAGUGGGGGACAACGUUUCGAAAGGAACGCUAAUACCGCAUACGUCCUACGGGAGAAAGCAGGGGACCUUCGGGCCUUGCGCUAUCAGAUGAGCCUAGGUCGGAUUAGCUAGUUGGUGAGGUAAUGGCUCACCAAGGCGACGAUCCGUAACUGGUCUGAGAGGAUGAUCAGUCACACUGGAACUGAGACACGGUCCAGACUCCUACGGGAGGCAGCAGUGGGGAAUAUUGGACAAUGGGCGAAAGCCUGAUCCAGCCAUGCCGCGUGUGUGAAGAAGGUCUUCGGAUUGUAAAGCACUUUAAGUUGGGAGGAANGGGUU
rnacentral:rRNA from 1 species